UACAGAGGUCCCAAGCGUUGUUCGGAUUCACUGGGCGUAAAGGGUGCGUAGGCGGUCGGGCAAGUCUGAUGUGAAAUCUCACAGCUUAACUGUGAAACUGCAUUGGAUACUAUCCGGCUCGAGGAAUGGAGGGGAGACUGGAAUACUUGGUGUAGCAGUGAAAUGCGUAGAUAUCAAGUGGAACACCAGUGGCGAAGGCGAGUCUCUAGACAUUUCCUGACGCUGAGGCACGAAGGCCAGGGGAGCAAACGGG
rnacentral:rRNA from 1 species